CCAUGCAACAGGAAGAAGCUGUUUUUCUCUUGGUUGAUGCAAGUUAUUUUUGUACAGUAUUGACACACUUUUACUCUUAUGAAUAUUGUACUUGUGAUUUCUAAAAGUUAUUUUUUUGUUUGUUUAUUUUGUGUUACAGGAAACUUCCACCUACAGUAAGCAGAUUUCCCUGCUAAGCACUCCAAGGCUCAUCAUGCUCGGAGAGUCCAAUCUGAGGGCAAAAAAUGGAUGCUUUCCAUCGAGUGCAGAGUUCUCCUCCAAUUGAGUGACCGUUGUGAUUUCACUUCUGCUCUAGCCUUUUUGCGUCAUACUAUGUAUGAGGCAGCCACUACAUUGGGAUUUAUCCAGAGGGUAGAGUCCAGCCCAGGAAGUCAACUAGUCCAGAUUUAAAAGAAUAAUAUUUCUGAAAAAAAGGUCUUGGAGAAAAACAAUAUUCAGGUUUGAAAUCCUGCUGUAAAUGUAAAUCAUUUAAUUUUUAUGCAUUUGUAAUUUACCAGAAACAUUUUAAUAAAUAUUGAUUGUUUUGUAU